rnacentral:rRNA from 1 species
ACUCAAAUGAAUAGACGGGGGCCCGCACAAGCGGUGGAGCAUGUUGUUUAAUACGUCACUAACCGUAGAACCUUACCAGGGCUUGACAUCGGUCGCUAGCCGGUGAAAGCCGGUGUUCGGAGCAAUCCGACGGCAUGACAGGUGUUGCAUGGCUGUCGUCAGCUCGUGUCGUGAGAUGUUGGGUUAAGUCCCGCAACGAGCGCAACCCUCACCCCAUGUUGCCAGCGGAUAAUGCCGGGAACUCUUGGGGAACUGCCCGGGUAACCGGGAGGAAGGUGAGGACGACGUCAAGUCAGCAUGGCCCUUACGCCCUGGGCUACAAACAUGCUACAAUGGACGGUAUACAGAGGGAUCCGAGACCGCGAGGUGGAGGCAAUCUCAAAAAUCCGUCCCCAGUUCAGAUCGCAGGCUGCAACUCGCCUGCGUGAAGUCGGAAUCGCUAGUAACCGCAGAUCAGCUAAGCUGCGGUGAAUACGUUCCCGGGCCUUGCACACACCGCCCGU